AGCCUGGUUUAGCUCAACAGACAGAAGCAUUGUAAUUUAACACCAGCUGUCUGCAAUUAAAGUAAGAUCGAAUCUCGCCAAGGCUCAAGGUUGACUCAGCCUUCCAUCCUUUCUAAGCCUCCCAGAACACCCUCUGAUUUCAGUUGUUCAAAUAAACAGUCCUGCAGUUUCCAGCCAUGUCUUGAAACAUUGUGGUACUCAGUUACAGAACAUA